rnacentral:rRNA from 1 species
CCCCGGUAAACGGCGGCCGUAACUAUAACGGUCCUAAGGUAGCGAAAUUCCUUGUCGGGUAAGUUCCGACCUGCACGAAUGGCGUAAUGAUGGCCACGCUGUCUCCACCCGAGACUCAGUGAAAUUGAAAUCGCUGUGAAGAUGCAGUGUACCCGCGGCUAGACGGAAAGACCCCGUGAACCUUUACUACAGCUUGGCACUGAACAUUGACCCUACAUGUGUAGGAUAGGUGGGAGGCUUUGAAGCACGUACGCCAGUAUGUGUGGAGCCGUCCUUGAAAUACCACCCUUGUAGUGUUGAUGUUCUAACGUCGACCCCUUAUCGGGGUUGCGGACAGUGCCUGGUGGGUAGUUUGACUGGGGCGGUCUCCUCCCAAAGAGUAACGGAGGAGCACGAAGGUGGGCUAAUCACGGUUGGACAUCGUGAGGUUAGUGCAAUGGCAUAAGCCCGCUUGACUGCGAGAAUGACAAUUCGAGCAGGUGCGAAAGCAGGUCAUAGUGAUCCGGUGGUUCUGAAUGGAAGGGCCAUCGCUCAACGGAUAAAAGGUACUCCGGGGAUAACAGGCUGAUACCGCCCAAGAGUUCAUAUCGACGGCGGUGUUUGGCACCUCGAUGUCGGCUCAUCACAUCCUGGGGCUGAAGUCGGUCCCAAGGGUAUGGCUGUUCGCCAUUUAAAGUGGUACGCGAGCUGGGUUUAGAACGUCGUGAGACAGUUCGGUCCCUAUCUGCCGUGGGCGUUGGAAGAUUGAAGGGGGCUGCUCCUAGUACGAGAGGACCGGAGUGGACGAACCUCUGGUGUUCGGGUUGUGUCGCCAGACGCAUUGCCCGGUAGCUAAGUUCGGAAUCGAUAACCGCUGAAAGCAUCUAAGCGGGAAGCGAGCCCUGAGAUGAGUCUUCCCUGAUACUUUAAGUAUCCUAAAGGGUUGUCGGAGACUACGACGUUGAUAGGUCAGGUGUGUAAGUGCUGUGAGGCAUUGAGCUAACUGAUACUAAUUGCCCGUGAGGCUUAACCAU